rnacentral:tRNA from 1 species
GCGAGCUUAGCUCAGUCGGGAGAGCGUCAGACUGAAGGUCCCGAGUUCAAUCCUCGGAGAUCGCA